GACGAACGCUGGCGGCGUGCCUAAUACAUGCAAGUCGAACGAACCGCGACUAGGUGCUUGCACUUGGUCAAGGUGAGUGGCGAACGGGUGAGUAACACGUGGGUAACCUACCUCAUAGUGGGGGAUAACAGUCGGAAACGACUGCUAAUACCGCAUAGGACAUAGGAUCACAUGAUCCAGUGAGGAAAGGUGGCGCAAGCUAUCGCUAAGAGAUGGACCCGCGGUGCAUUAGCUAGUUGGUAGGGUAAAGGCCUACCAAGGCGAUGAUGCAUAGCCGACCUGAGAGGGUGAUCGGCCACAUUGGGACUGAGACACGGCCCAAACUCCUACGGAGGCAGCAGUAGGGAAUCUUCCGCAAUGGACGCAAGUCUGACGGAGCAACGCCGCGUGAGUGAAGAAGGUCUUCGGAUCGUAAAGCUCUGUUGUUAGAGAAGAACAGCGCAUAGAGUAACUGUUAUGCGUGUGACAGUAUCUAACCAGAAAGCCACGGCUAACUACGUG
rnacentral:rRNA from 1 species